GACGAACGCUGGCGGCGCGCCUAACACAUGCAAGUCGAACGGAGAUCAUUUGGUAGAAGUUUUCGGAUGGACACCGAGUGAUCUUAGUGGCGAACGGGUGAGUAACGCGUGAGCAAUCUGCCUCAGAGUGGGGGACAACAGUUGGAAACGACUGCUAAUACCGCAUAAGCCCACAGCACCGCAUGGUGCAGGGGGAAAAGAUUUAUUGCUUUGAGAUGAGCUCGCGUCCAAUUAGCUGGUUGGUGAGGUAACGGCCCACCAAGGCGACGAUUGGUAGCCGGACUGAGAGGUUGAACGGCCACAUUGGGACUGAGACACGGCCCAGACUCCUACGGGAGGCAGCAGUGAGGGAUAUUGGGCAAUGGGGGAAACCCUGACCCAGCAACGCCGCGUGAGGGAUGACGGUUUUCGGAUUGUAAACCUCUGUCCUCUGUGAAGAUAGUGACGGUAGCAGAGGAGGAAGCUCCGGCUAACUACGUGCCAGCAGCCG
rnacentral:rRNA from 1 species